CGUGAAAUUGUUGAAAGGGAAACGUUUGACACCAGUUAUGCGGGUGGUAAAUCAGUCUUUUGCAAUGGGGAGUUGUGGGCGUUCAGACCGCAAGGCUGGCGUUUGCUUCAUCUUUGUUGUAAGUGAUGCACUUUUUCAUUUGCAGGUCAACAUCAGUUUGCUUUGCUGGACAAACCCCCAAGGGAAUGUGGCAGCUUAGGCUGUGUUAUAGCACUGGGGCGAUAUAGUGGAGUGGACUGAGGUUUCGCAGU
rnacentral:rRNA from 1 species